CUUCUUAAGUUUAAUGUCAAAUUUACUUUUGACUUUUUUGUUAAAGAAAUAUAUUUAUAUUUUAAUCCGCAGGAUGUGCAGAGGGGGCUUCAAUCACAGGAACAGAGUGAAGCAGUCUAUAAGGCACAAGUCAAUUUUCAGCCAGUCCAAGUUAUCUCUUUUUGAUUGGUCACGGUUCAUUUACAGGUUUUCACAAGGACUGCGUUUAAGACAGAUUGACCUGAUGAUGGAUGAGAUAUCAAGGAGUCCGACCUCUCUUUCAAAGAUGGCAAAGAAGCUACGAGAAGUAUGUAUUUGGGCACUUAAUAGAAGAAGGAGAAGGAAGGGACAGCGAUUGGGUGGAAGACACGAGUAUGUGGUGAUCGACGAAAGCCACUUCAGACAUAAGAGAAAGUAUGGGAGAGGCAGAGCGGCUGGGGGGUGGAAAAGAAAAAAGUGGGUUUUUGGCAUGUUGGGCGUGAAGAAAAGUGAUGGGAAGAGUCAGAGACCAAUCCUGCGCCUGGUGGACAGGCGAACCAGACAAGAACUUGUCCCUUUGCUAUGCCGACAUGUAAAAAUGGGCUCUUACAUCAUUAGUGAUGAAUGGCGGUCAUACCGCGUACUUAAUGAUCUGGGGUUCAGACACUUGACUGUAAACCACAGUAUGUGGUAUAUGGAUCCUAUUACAGGAAACCAUACACAGCACAUUGAACGUGCUUGGCGAACUGUUAAGGAGCAGGUCUGGAGACAAAGGGGCAACCGGACAGAAGAACUGUUGUCA